GCCUACGGCCAUACCACCCUGAAAGCGCCCGAUCUCGUCUGAUCACGGAAGCUAAGCAGGGACGGGCUUGGUUAGUACCUGGAUGGGAGACCGCCUGGGAAUACCAGGUGUUGUAGGCU
rnacentral:rRNA from 1 species